rnacentral:rRNA from 1 species
AUUGAACGCUGGCGGCAGGCUUAACACAUGCAAGUCGAGCGGGGUGAUGGUGCUUGCACUAUCACUUAGCGGCGGACGGGUGAGUAAUGCUUAGGAAUCUGCCUAUUAGUGGGGGACAACAUCUCGAAAGGGAUGCUAAUACCGCAUACGUCCUACGGGAGAAAGCAGGGGAUCACUUGUGACCUUGCGCUAAUAGAUGAGCCUAAGUCGGAUUAGCUAGUUGGUGGGGUAAAGGCCUACCAAGGCGACGAUCUGUAGCGGGUCUGAGAGGAUGAUCCGCCACACUGGGACUGAGGAACUGCCCAGACUCCUACGGGAGGAAGCAGUGGAGAAUAUUGGACAAUGGGGGGAUCCCUGAUCCAGCCAUGCCGGGUGUGUGAAGAAGGCCUUAUGGUUGUAAAGCACUUUAAGCGAGGAGGAGGCUCUUUUGGUAAAUACCCAAGAUGAGUGGACGUUACUCGCAGAAUAAGCACCGGCUAACUCUGUGCCAGCAGCCGCCGUAA